CCUACGGGUGGCAGCAGUGAGGAAUAUUGGUCAAUGGACGGGAGUCUGAACCAGCCAAGUCGCGUGAAGGAUGACUGCCCUGUGUAUUGUAAACUUCUUUUAUCAGGGAAUAAAACGAGGCACGUGUCCCUUUUUGCGUGUACUUUAUGAAUAAGGAUCGGCUAACUCCGUGCCAGCAGCCGCGGUAAUACGGAGGAUACGAGCGUUAUCCGGAUUUAUUGGGUUUAAAGGGUGCGUAGAUGGGUUGGUAAGUCAGUUGUGAAAGUUUGGGGCUCAACCGUAAAAUUGCAAUUGAUACUGGCAGUCUGGAGUAGAGUUGAGGUAGGCGGAAUGCGCGGUGUAGCGGUGAAAUGCAUAGAUAUCACGAAGAACUCCGAUUGCGAAGGCAGCUUACCGA
rnacentral:rRNA from 1 species